rnacentral:rRNA from 1 species
CCCUUAGAUGUUCUGGGCCGCACGCGCGCUACACUGAUGCAUUCAACGAGUUUCUUCCUGGUCCGAGAGGAAUGGGUAACCUUCUGAAAGUGCAUCGUGAUAGGGAUAGACUAUUGCAAUUAUUGGUCUUCAACGAGGAAUUCCUAGUAGACGUAGUUCAUCAGACUGCAUCGAUUACGUCCCUGCCCUUUGUACACACCGCCCGUCGCUCCUGCCGAUUGAAUGCUCAGGUGAGCCAUUCGGACUUUCAUCAUGCUGGUUUCCAGUUUUGAUGAAGGAAAGUCUUGCGAACCUUAUCAUUUAGAGGAAGGAGAAGUCGUAACA